AGAGUUUGAUCCUGGCUCAGGAUGAACGCUAGCGGCAGGCUUAACACAUGCAAGUCGAGGGGUAGGAGAAGCUUGCUUUUCUGAGACCGGCGCACGGGUGCGUAACGCGUAUGCAAUCUACCUUUCACAAAGGGAUAGCCCAGAGAAAUUUGGAUUAAUACCUUUUAGUAUAAUUGAAUGGCAUCAUUUAAUUAUUAAAGAUUUAUCGGUGAAAGAUGAGCAUGCGUCCCAUUAGCUAGUUGGUAUGGUAACGGCAUACCAAGGCUACGAUGGGUAGGGGUCCUGAGAGGGAGAUCCCCCACACUGGUACUGAGACACGGACCAGACUCCUACGGGAGGCAGCAGUGAGGAAUAUUGGACAAUGGGCGCAAGCCUGAUCCAGCCAUGCCGCGUGCAGGAUGACGGUCCUAUGGAUUGUAAACUGCUUUUAUACAGGAAGAAACACCUCUACGUGUAGAGACUUGACGGUACUGUAAGAAUAAGGAUCGGCUAACUCCGUGCCAGCAGCCGCGGUAAUACGGAGGAUCCAAGCGUUAUCCGGAAUCAUUGGGUUUAAAGGGUCCGUAGGCGGUCAGAUAAGUCAGUGGUGAAAGCCCAUCGCUCAACGGUGGAACGGCCAUUGAUACUGUCUGACUUGAAUUAUUAGGAAGUAACUAGAAUAUGUAGUGUAGCGGUGAAAUGCUUAGAGAUUACAUGGAAUACCAAUUGCGAAGGCAGGUUACUACUAAUAUAUUGACGCUGAUGGACGAAAGCGUGGGUAGCGAACAGGAUUAGAUACCCUGGUAGUCC
rnacentral:rRNA from 1 species